AUUUAGCUGACACGUGUGAAAAAUGAAAGUAAUUAUAGUUAAGAUCUACACCGAAAUAAUCAGCGGGGCAGGUGAAAAGUCAGUUAGUUAUCAAGUCCACAGCAACAGAAAAACGAUUUGUUGAUGUUCUAGCCCUGCACACCUUGUUCAGUCGUCAAAAGCGUGAGAGCUAGCUGACCAAACGGAGUCAAAUCAAUCGCCUUACUAUGAUAAAGCACGCUAUUUUUGUCUAUAUUUUUGUUUCUCUGAUGCUUGGUUCUUUCGCCCAUCCCAUUUUAAGAACAAGAUUGUCGCAAGACAUGUCAGGCACAAGGCAAUUACUGGAAGAACCUGGGAUGACGAAGUGUCCUCAUCCAAGCGACAUCCAUUUUUGCACAUUCGAGUUUCUUUACAAUGAAGCAUGUUACGAAGGAACUGAAGAGUUUAAAAUAAGAUGCCAAAACUUCUGUAAUGGAUUGUGCAGAAUUUAUGGAACUCUUUCAUAACUAGCGAGCCUAGUUAUUGUUCUUUUAAAACCAAGUAAAGCAGUCUUAUUAAUCCCGUAAACAAAUAAUGAACAUAAUGAUUUUCUCUCGAACGUG